UUAACCAGAUUGCAAUGUUUAAGGUACAUGUAAACGGUACAGUCGUACCCUCAAUCAAAUAAAAUGUAAUCGGAUUGACAAAAUUUUGUGCAUGUAAACAUAAGUGUCUUCAUGAUUUUCAUAUGCAGUUUAACCAUGACAUAGCGAUUAUCUCAUCACUCAUUCUCUACAUGAGGCAGUAACUGUUUGCCAUACUAGGAGAAACUGCUGAAUACUGGCAUCAUCAUGGGCAUUGCUUUACCAAUCCAAAAAAAAAAGUUUCAAGGCCAUUGUGCAAUAUUUAUGCCACCACUGACAGGUGUGACAAAAGUUAUUUUGUCUGGAGUCUGCUUAAAAAAACAAACCUCCCCAAACCUGCACUGCAUGGCAGAUUUUAUACUGCAGUAAUUUCAUCUAUUUGUUUGGCUUCGCUGUAGUGGCUCAUUAAUAGUACAAUGAUCUAGCACUUUAAUACUGUUUUCAAAAUCGUUGUGGCAAUUCUCUAGCAUUCCAACCUGUUAUGGUUACUGCACCAACCAUGUGAGUUAAAGCUUCUUUUUAAACUGAAACGAUGAAUCUUAAGUAGCUUACAAUCACUGACAUAAAUAGAAACAGCCGUUUACAGAUGAAUGAAGAAUUGGUUGAGGUUGGUAAUAGCUACAGGCUUUACAUUUGCAUGAGAUCUUUGCAUGAGAACAUCUGCUGUGAUUAACCUCCUGUAUACUCCGCUGUUCACAAUUAGCCUGAUUAACCACAUUUAACCAACAAGCUGUUGAACAACCCAAAAACAGACACAUAGUAAAUCACUGAAUCUCAUCUUUGUCAUCUGAACACAAUAAUAAAUCAGCAUUUACCUUCCAGAUCUUUGUGGCCGUCUCUACCCUGGACGGUUUGCGUGAUAGCAGCACUAGACUUGCAGGAGGUACAUGGUCAAAAAUCAUUUUGAAGGCUUUCUGAGGGUUUGCUCAGAAAACAUGUACUGCGCACAAGGAGAAUGCUUUAUAUGGCUCCCCGGCAAUUAUCACGAACAGAAACAACCCUGCCCAUUUCAGUAGGAGAUCCCAUUACAGCUUAAUGGAGGAGCGGGCAAAGCAGUCGUCUAGUCUGGCAGACAACUAGCGGGACAGCGGAUACAACAUCAUCUCCACUCAGUACACCGCUUCUCAUGUUAAUAAGGCCAACCCGGGUUCCCCUCCGCUGAGCACUGCGAACGAGGGCCUCUUGUCCUCGUUCCGGCCCCGACCUGCUGUGCUCCCCGGGCCAGGGUUAAGUGACGGCAACAUUGCACACGUUCAAUACAAAAGACCACUCAGGAGACCCUCACCCGCAGCUAAUCACAGACAGGCACACGUUGCCUGUUGAAUUAGCAUUAACCACCCACGCUCCAGUACUUCAGCCCUUAUCUGUACAUCAUAAAUGCUCUAAACAACCUCUCCAGUACCCAGAGUGACACCCGUGGGUGUGAUUUAACCACGGUCGUGGGAGUCAUUUUAUUUCAGGACAUGAAAAGCACUUGAUCGUGACACUAGGCCGAAUAGAGUGGCACCAG